UCAUCCUAGAGAGGAAGAACUGGAAGGUUACAGUGUGAUGACACUCCCAUGGCUAACAGCUAGACUCAUAAAGCACGCUUUCAUUAAAGCAUUUAACUUUUUACGAUGCAAACCAAUCCAUCACAGCCAGCCAUGGGGUCUUAAGUACAUUUUCAUUUCUACUAAAAAGGCACUGACCGUGACAGUAUACGGUCAACGUAUUCUCAAAAUGCUUCAUGAUCUUUAAGUGGCAGGGAUGUUUACAACAGCUCAUGAAAUCACUGACAGCUGUAAAUACCACACAAGUCUUCACUCUAUUCUGAUUACUGAAACAAUGAUUCUGUGUCUGAAAGACAUUUAGUUCCAAAAGGUUUUAAUUAGCCUGGACAGAACGGGCUUGAAGUUAUACAGUAGGAGGACAGUUAUAAGUACCCUUUCAGAUUUCACUUUCUUUUACAUUUUAUUCGUGUGACACAAGCUCUAUCGAAAAGAUCGGUGUUGUGGGUGACCAAAGGUUUCCAUUCAUUUACCUGUAGGUCCAUUGCCAACAUCUACAAACACCUGUUAAUAGCCACUUCUGGGGAAAAAAAGAAUCAUUCAUAACCAUUCUCUCAUCUGGUCUUCCCCAUCUUAUUCCUUAAAUAACAUUUCCCAAACCUCAUGUUUUCCACAGAAUAGAUUUUCUGUCUUUGAACCAGAGGAGGAGGAGAAAUAUAUCACAUUUAAAACAAACGUUAUGAACAGAGUACCCUUACACUCAUUGGUUGUAAUGAAAUUCAUUCAUAAACCAAUACUAGAUUGACCUAUAAACUGUAUAAGCAAAAAGAAAGGGGACAGAUGAAUGGAUACUGAGAUACUGACAAAUAGGAAAAAUGAAACAUAAUGAUCACAUAUCUCAGAAACCUAACAAAUGCUCAGAUUGCCUUCCAUAUUAUAAAGAAAGGAGGAGUUAAGAAUGAAUUUCAAGGAAGUUAAAACAUGGUCAUUCUGUAGAUGAUCGCAAGGGGCUCCUGUGAAGAAUAGGGGGACAAAAUAUGAAUGGAAAUGUCUGCAAAUGAUAAAAGAAAUAUGGGCUAUGGAACCAUAAGAACAAUCUACCUGCUUUCCAAACACAUGUUUGGUGUUGUGUGUGUGCUGGUAUGGGUUUUAGCUAAGAUAUUUCUUUGCAGAAGAAAUUCCAGAUGGAAAAGUUUUAUAUAGAAGUUGGUUGUCUUCCUUAAUUUGUUUUUCAACUUUUUUCCUUUGUUUUGUUUUAUUAAUUUGAAGCCAUGGUUGCUGUCAGGCUCACUGCUGGCCCUCCCGCAUGCCCAAUACAUCAUAGCACUCUUGGCUUGGUUAUGCAUUCCAGUGGAGCUGGGGAAUGGUGAGAGCUGGGUGGUGUGUGCAGGGAAACCAAGAGAAAUGUGGAUCCUUAUCGACCUUCCAGAUCUUCAGAAGUACUACAUGAUCUGAGGUUGGUGCUGGUGAUUGGUUUGGGAGCAACUCUGAAUCACUGCUCGCAGAGUUCCUGGCUGGAACCAAGGAAAGUUGGUGAAAUGUGUGUGUUUGGAACUGAUUAUUAAUGGAAGAACAGAUGGUAUCUAAUCCAGAGAGGGUAAGCAAGACUUGCCCCGAUCUGCCUUCCCUUCAAAACUGCCACUUUUAUUGAUUGUAACAGCAGAGGAGCUAACGUUUGGUCACAGAGAGUGAACUCUAUUUGCUCUUUCUUUUUUUCUUUGUUUUUUUUUCCCCCUGAUGUUCCAAGUUAAGGCCUUGCUGCCAGUGGGCGGAGGGGUGAAAUCUACACCACAUCUACUACGGCUAAGGAGAAGACCUGCAUUUCCAGGACUGUCAACUGAACCUCCUUCACACUACAGACACAAUUUUAUAAAUACAAAAAGAAACAAAACAAAACAAACUUGAACUGUGAUCUUUCUGGAAUGGAGAUAUAUCCAAAAGAACCGUGCUUUGGGUUGUACAGCGUUCCCAAGGAGUCAGAACAAAUAUCCAGACUUCAACAUGAGACCAAGCACAGUUGCUCAGUCCCUGUGAAGAUGAGAUGAUAUAGAACUGGAGAACAUAAGCAGAUGUGGAGACAUUUUGAUGCAUUUCUGAAAAAACAAACGACAUUUUGCUGCUAUAUUUUAGGAGCUCAUUCCAGCCUCCUUAUCAAAAAUAUGCUGCAAAAAACAAUAGUCACUUCAUUUUCAUUUCUCAAUCUAUCUGGAGAGCAGAAGGCACAGUCAUGUACUAGAUGAGGUAACGCCAGAGCCUAACAACUGUCAAGAAAGUCUUGUGGAGUUUAAAAUGCUGAAGAAUAAGGGAAGAAUCAUCAAGAAACUAUGAAUCUGAAGGAAAUCAAUAUGAUAGUCUAAGAUCUUGAAAUUGCAUAGCAUAGCUGUCAGAAUCACAGAAUUGUAGGGGCUGUAAGGGACCUCUGGAGAUAAUCUACAAGCCAACACAAUGCAUCUAACCCAAAAAAGACUAAAAGAUUCCACAGAAACAAGGAACUAUGGGGUACUGUAGCAGAAAUGCUAAGUCACAGCUUGAAGCAGUGAUUGAGCACCUGGUGGGAAGGCAGGGUCAACCCAGGGGAGCUCAGGUGCAUGCAAUACCCCUGAGUGAGAGAAGGGGUGGAUCCCAGCUCCACCCCUUCUCAGACCUCAUUUAAGGGUUGGCAGUGGAGGCAAGGGUAUCUCACUGGAGAUCCCUGCUUAGUGGAGGUCUUCUAAAGGUAAGUGGCUUUUCUUCAUUUGUUUCUGCAUCCAUAGCUGCUGCAUUUGGGUUUGCUCUCAUUUGCUGCAGCCUAGUUUUGUGUGCUUUGCUAUUAUUGCUAUAUGUUACAUUACAGGUACAAAAGGUGAAGUUAUCUAGUCUUGUCCCUCCUUCUUCUGUAGGGAAGAACCACUCUGUGAAAGAAGACUGCAGCACUGAAAGUUCAGGCUGUAUUUGGCUAAGACCUGGAGGUGGUUAUGGACUUUGACUCAGUGGCUGGGCUUGGAUGGGAGCCUUCUGGCUUACAAUCCUAUGCUCCAACCAUCUAAUCUCUCAGCCUGAAGGAAACUGCGGUGUCCCUGUGGACUCUUGAAUAGAUGCCCCAGGGGAACAGAAGAUUGAGCGUGCUGCCCUCUGGCCAUUGGCAUUAAUUUGCCAAUUCAAUAGAGAUGACAAAAGAUCAAGUGGGGAGUCCACAGCCAUCUCAGACUGUUAACUCCACAAGAGUACAAUGUAGCUGCAGUAAGGAGCUGAGUCAGUUUGGAUUCAACAUGUAAAGAGCAGAAGAGACUCAACUGGGUUUCAAAAGAUGCAAGCAGGUUGGAUCACAAUGAUAGAUAGCCUUCUCAACCGCUGGGAACUCCUUUGCGAGGGGCCAAAUGUACAGCUUCAUCAACCUAGAUGUCACUUGGCCAGAUAAUGCUUGGGCCUGGAACAGUAUGCAAUAGCAGUCCACCAUGCCAGCCAUCCCACCAGAGGCAUCUUGAUGUCAGCAUUGCUGAGACCCAGAAAUGAGGGUGACAGGAAUUCACUAAGCAGGGGAAUUCAGUGCUACAGAUGGUGAAACACCUUCUAAACCAGAAGAGGUUGCUCUGUGUUCCAUUUCUGAUGGUAAAGGUAGUGCCCCUGGUGGGAUAUUCUGUCUUUGCUGGGGUAUGCGUUAAUAUCCACUGUGCUUAGUAAGGAAUUUCCCCUCUCCUGCAGAGUCUGGCAGCAGCUAUUAGUUUUUUUUUGUCCCUCAGUCUUAGGUCCCACAGUUCCUGUUCAGAGGAGUUGGGCCAUUCUCUAACGCUCCUGGUCUGCAGCAACCCUGAAAGUCUUUUUCAGCUCCUAUAUAGGACCACUGGUAGGGUGUGGGUGUAUGUAUCCCUAUGCAGUGGCACAUCAGCUGGAGGGGACCUUGCUCCAGGGAAGCAAACACCAGUUUAACUGGGUUACUGGAGCCAAAACCCUGUAAAACUGAAUUUUCUCUGAGAACAGUCCCUGCAAUGAUGUGCGUGCUGUAUACAACUACCCCAAGCUCUUCCCAAGCCCCUAAAAGUAAUGCAACCCUUUGAGGAAUAACAAACGAAAUGUGUCAAACAAUGCAGGGGAUCUGGUGUGUCUAAUUUUUGUUCUGUGUCCUUCUCACUGCAGGAAAUGCUGGGUGAAAUGUUCUGGCCAUCCAAAGAAGUGGACCAUGCAGCAAGGAAUGGCAGCCCUUUGGUGAUCCCUGAGGCUUUGGUGCUGGGAUCAGCAUAAGGAAAGAUGCCAGAGGAAAAAGUAUGAGAUUACCUCUCAGCAAUACCCUUUGGCCUGAAUCACUGACAUCUUUGAUUUAAACAGUAAUUUAAAACACACAUGAUGAGAAGUCAGGGAAGGGAUCCAGGAAGGCCUGGGGUCCAGCCAACCUGGUGUGUCUGCCAAUUUGCUAUUCUGAAGGUAGGUUUGCUAGGAAGGGGCAGGAUCAUAUCUGAAACCUGUCACAGCCUCAGCUAAGCCACAAGGCCCUUUCUCAAAAAAGAUCAGUGUCUGUAUGGCUGUACCAACAUUGCUUUGUGGAUACCUACAGCACUGGUCUUCAGCUCAGCUGUACCACAGCAGUACAUAUAGGGGUUUGGGUGAAAAUUUUGACAUAUCCUUUGCAAAUGAUCAGAAAGCCCUGUCAACAUAAGAUGUAUGGAUACCCUUAAGGUGGGCUCAGUGAUGUAGCAUGAGGGUGAUGAAAGCAUGCAGGAGCAGAAAGGAAGAGAAGAAAUGUGGAUGAAAUAAAGAAAAAGAGGAGUUCAUCAGGACAUAUGUCAGACAGGUUCUUUCUACUCUCAUCUCUCCCAGACCAUUGGCUUUCCUGAAUGAUAUUACUGGCACCUGGCUCUUCUCAUGAGGAAGCGAGGGAGAGCAGGGAAAAUCCAUAUUAGCCAGUCUGAAUUGCUUGAUUUCAACAGGAGUGCUUGACUUGACUUUUCUCUAAAGUCUCCCCCAUUUGCAUGCUGCUGCAGAACUGAUUUGGGCCCAUUACCAGUAGGAUCCCAGAUUUAGAAAUAUCAGCACCUUAACCUUGAUGGGAAGAGAGUUUUGAUCCUGCUUUGAGUCCAGACUGUGGCUUUGACCCACUGUGUCUGGUGACCAGCUGCCCUUUUGGUUCAGGUACAAAAGGUUUCUCACACAAAUUACCUUCUUCCCUGCUGGGCAAUUUCAGUUUCCGUUCUGAUAUUCCUUGUGUCACUUUUCUCCUCUCUUUCUCUCAGGUCAGAUUCAGGUUGGAAACCUAUUGCUCAGAGGGAGCAGAUGGAAAAAGAGGUAUCUCUGACUUUGAAUCAGAUUCUGUAUGAUCAUGGCUCAGUGAUCAUAAAUCCUCCAGGGCCUGAAACCUAACAAGGGAAUAAAGGAGGAAGCACUGUCUCUCUCAGAUCAAAGUAAAGAGAAAAGUUGAGAUGUAAAGGAGACAAAAUAAGCUGCAGGGUAUGCGAAAAUCAGAGCUCCCAUACAGCUUGCUGAAGACUGCCAAAAUCAGGUUCUCCACAGCCAUCCCAUACCUACGCAAUACAGUGAUGGGAGCGUUUUUAGAUAAGAUCAGAUCCAGAGAGAACAUGCCUGGCUCUGUUUCUUCCAGUGGAACAAUAUGGAAACCCACUGCUGGGAAACAGUUUUUCCGAGCCAGAGAGGAGGCAGGGAAUUGUUCUGUGCAACCAUUCAGGAGUCUCCGCUCCCACGCAUUCUCCCGCUUGCUGACACCCUGCCAGGACCGCAAAGGAGGAAUUGAUUUACAUGCAGUAAGUCAACUAAAUAAAUAGAUAAAUAAAGCCCUUCCUACCUUGCCCAGUUAAGAAAAGGGAGGGACCAAGAUCAAAUUCAGUGGGAAGUCCUCUGCAGGUAUGCUGCUGCUGCCCAAAGCUGGGCACUGGGUGCUGACAGCACUGGUAAAUGUGAUAUUUAUUCCCUGGGAGGGAAUUCUGGACUGCUCUUUGUAAGGCUUGUCACUCACUGUCUUCUGUUCUUGCUACUGAACCCUGCUGCGUGAGAUCCUCGAGCUCAUUUGGUGGCUUCAGCAAGUGUGUUCCAAAUUGUUGUGGUUCUUAUGUAGAUGAUGUAGGUCCUAAGAGCCCAGAUUCACUACAGAAGGAUACCAAUUUGGCCCAUUAACCUGCUUCUUCCUCAGAUAUCUGCCCUGUAGACCACUGUGUUUAAUAGGUGCCAUCCUCUGCAACUCCCAUUGUUUCUUACUUCUGACCGCACUGACAAAGGAACUUCUCAUGGGAAGUGUGGGGAAUGUGAAGAAAUACCUCUGCGCUUUGAAGCUUGCUCCUUUGAACCAGACUGACCAUCCCUGUUUGGCAGUAGAGCAUCCCCAACUGGGCACCAUUCCUUCAUACUUUGUCAUGCCCUCAGCUGCCCACGCAGCUGCAGAAAUGCAGGGAAUAGGUGUGUAGGCCAUGAUGAGCUCUCAUGAAUUAUCUCCCAAUAAAAUGGAGAUCUGGUGUUUGAGAUAGAGCUACUGGGAGCAAAAGAGUGAGCUCAGUGCCUGAAACUGCAGUGUGACCCAAACACUUGGGUUUCAUGGGGGCAUUUAGCUCCCACUCUGUUUAAAUGCAAAUGAUCUUCUCUGCACACCACUAGUACCAGAACUGGGUCAUUGAAGGGAACACUUGUUUAACUUUGUUAUAAAAGCUGCUCAACUGAUGUUUUGAUGGAGAUAAGGUUCUGCUUCUCUUGCUACCAGACAACCAUAAGAGUAAAGAUGGGCUGGGGACAGAGUCAAGUUCAGGAUGUUUUUGUGUGCCAGGUAGUUCAGUCUAAGACAACAAUCAAUAGCAAAUUACAGCUGGAAUAAAGGUGACGGUAGCUUUACUUGGUUUAAUACCUGGCGUGGGGGCUACAUGAGGUUAGGCUUCCCUAACCUUCAGAGAAAGGAGGCAAAAAUGUUCUUUACUGUCUGUUCUUAUGCCAGCAUUUUCCUUCCUUCUCUCAGGCGUGCUGCUCUUUUAUCCCUGAAAAGGAUAGGAGCCAGCCCCCAGGAUACCUGCACCCAGAAAUUGCUGCAAGAGCAAAGGCCCAUUGCUCAAACUGACCGGACAGCUGACAUGGAGAAGUUAAAUCAGGAACAAGUGUUUCCCACCUGUGUGCAGCUGAACACGGUGCACUUUGGUUUCAGUUCUGAUGAAGCGCCAGUGAGCCUGACAGUGCAUCUGUUUUUCUAACUCUUUUGGUUAGUCUAAGGAGAGAUAUUCU